rnacentral:tRNA from 1 species
AAGGGAGACCUAAUUCAGGUAGGAGACGAAAAAAAAGUAGUCGCUACCAAGAAUCAAUCCCAAAAGGUCGGAGCGAGGCGAAAUUGGCUUUCAAACUAGGUUCUGGGUUCAAACAAGACCUGAAUCAGGAACAAGGGCUAUUAGCUCAGGUGGUUAGAGCGCACCCCUGAUAAGGGUGAGGUCCCUGGUUCGAGUCCAGGAUGGCCCGCCUGCACAGGUGGCAAAAACAAGAGAAGCGAGGAACCAGCACCUUAUCUUACUUAUAUAGUAAGAGAGAAUGCUGGCUCUGAGUAAAGAGUCCAGAGGAACCUUGAAAACUGCAUAGAGCUAGGUGAAAAAGCCAAAAAAGAAGACCGCAA